rnacentral:rRNA from 1 species
UAAUACAGAGGGUGCAAGCGUUGUCCGGAAUCACUGGGCGUAAAGGGCGCGUAGGCGGCCUGAUAAGUCGGGGGUGAAACGCUGCGGCUCAACCGCAGCACUGCCUUCGAGACUGUUGGGCUUGAGCACGGUAGAGGCUGGUGGAAUUCCCGGUGUAGCGGUGGAAUGCGUAGAGAUCGGGAAGAACAUCGGUGGCGAAGGCGGCCAGCUGGGCCGUUGCUGACGCUGAGGCGCGACAGCGUGGGGAGCAAACAGG